GCAAAGGAACUACGUAGCAGAGA
rnacentral:piRNA from 1 species